GACGGGAAAGGGGGCUAGUAAUUUUCCUCCGUGUUUUAAAGACUGUGUGAUAUUCGAUUUUCUUUUCCUCUGCAGAAAACAAUGUAAUGUGCUAUUGGUAAUAAGUGACCUAGAAAACGAUUGCACAUAAUAAAAAGUACCCCCGUCUCAUAGCAGGUGGAGAAACUGCAGUUGGGGAAACAACAGACAGUUCCUCAAGCAAAACACUGACCUCGCUGCCUGGAACAGAUGCAAUUUGUGGACGAGAAAUCGACUCAGUGUUUUUUAUGUAUUAAUUCACAUAGCCGAAUGGCUUCAUGGUUGGAAACCGAUACAAUUAACGAAGCCAUAACAAUUUUCCAUUUGCCUCACUCAGACAUAACAUAACAUACCUCAUUGACUUAAAGAGAGGUCGCUGAAACUGGCCCUGAACCACAAUCAUGAUGUCAAUCAUGGCACAUCUUGUAUUAUUCUAUCAAGCGAUAGUCAGCGAUUCGAUUUACAGUCAUGGAUAAACGGCUUCAUUUUCAUCAGAACCUCUUUACCCUGACCUCCUCUAUCCGUCGAGUUUUCAGAUGUAUAAAAUUUAAGAUUCAAUAUUAAAGUUGAUAACGUCA